UGGGGAAUAUUGGACAAUGGGGGAAACCCUGAUCCAGCAAUGCCGCGUGAGUGAUGAAGGCCUUCGGGUUGUAAAGCCCUGUGGAGAGGGACGAAUAAGUUCGACCUAAUACGUCGGGCGAUGACGGUACCUCUUUAGCAAGCACCGGCUAACUCUGUGCCAGCAGCCGCGGUAAGACAGAGGGUGCAAACGUUGUUCGGAAUUACUGGGCGUAAAGCGCGUGUAGGCGGUCGUGCAAGUCGGGUGUGAAAGCCCAGGGCUCAACCCUGGAAGUGCAUUCGAUACUGCAUGGCUAGAGUCCCGGAGAGGAUGGUGGAACUCUCGGUGUAGAGGUGAAAUUCGUAGAUAUCGAGAAGAACACCGGUGGCGAAGGCGGCCAUCUGGACGGUGACUGGCGCUGAGACGCGAAAGCGUGGGGAGCAAACA
rnacentral:rRNA from 1 species